rnacentral:tRNA from 1 species
GGGCCAUUAGCUCAACCGGUAGAGCAUCCGACUCUUAAUCGGGUGGUUACAGGUUCGAGUCCUGUAUGGCCCACCA